UUGGGUCAAUGGUACAAAAAGUCAAUGACAUAUGCCAAUUGUUGGAAGCAAAAUUAAAUGGAACAAGUGCAAGAGCAGUCGUCUCAAAAGUCAAAACCGCAAGCCAACCACCAUGUUUUAAACUCACAAGUUUUCUUUGUAUGAAACAGGAGCACUUUCUACCUUCAAAUCAAAGGCUUCAAAGCGCAAAUAUCUACAAGUUUAAUUCCUUGUUUCUGUAAAUGCAAGAGGCAAUGUUGCUGCAUAGGUUUGAUAAUUACAAUUAUGGUAAAACUCAUCAUUCUAUACCCCUAAG
rnacentral:lncRNA from 1 species